AGACAGCUAGGAGGUUGGCUUAGAAGCAGCCACCCUUUAAAGAAAGCGUAAUAGCUCACUAGUCGAGUCGGCCUGCGCGGAAGAUGUAACGGGGCUAAAACUAUAUGCCGAAGCUGCGGAUUUGCAAUUUAUUGCAAGUGGUAGGGGAGCGUUCUGUAAGCCGAUGAAGGUGUAUUGAGAAGUAUGCUGGAGGUAUCAGAAGUGCGAAUGCUGACGUGAGUAACGACAAUGCGAGUGAAAAACUCGCACGCUGAAAGACCAAGGGUUCCAGUCCAACGUUAAUCGGGGCUGGGUGAGUCGACCCCUAAGGCGAGGCCGAGAGGCGUAGUCGAUGGGAAAUUGGUUAAUAUUCCAAUACUUCUGUGUAAUGCGAUGAGAGGACGGAGAAGGUUAAGUCAGCCUGGCGUUGGUUGUCCAGGUGAAAGGUUGUAGGCAUGUAUCUUAGGCAAAUCCGGGGUACUCUAUGCUGAGAACUGAUAGCAAGCUGUACUUGUACAGUGAAGUGGCUGAUACCAUGCUUCCAGGAAAAGUCUCUAAGCUUCAGUUACACAGGAAUCGUACCCGAAACCGACACAGGUGGUCAGGUCGAGUAGACCAAAGCGCUUGAGAGAACUCUGCUGAAGGAACUAGGCAAAAUGGUACCGUAACUUCGGGAGAAGGUACGCUGCCGACGGUGAUGGGAUUUACUCCCUGAGCGGUUGGCAGCCACAGAAACCAGGCCCCUGCAACUGUUUAUUAAAAACAUAGCACUCUGCAAACACGAAAGUGGACGUAUAGGGUGUGAUGCCUGCCCGGUGCUGGAAGGUUAAUUGAUGGGGUUAGCGUAAGCGAAGCUCUUGAUCGAAGCCCCAGUAAACGGCGGCCGUAACUAUAACGGUCCUAAGGUAGCGAAAUUCCUUGUCGGGUAAGUUCCGACCUGCACGAAUGGCAUAAUGAUGGGGGCGCUGUCUCCAGCAGAGACUCAGUGAAAUCGAAUUCGCCGUGAAGAUGCGGUGUACCCGCGGCUAGACGGAAAGACCCCGUGAACCUUUACUGCAGCUUGACAUUGAACUUUGAUCUUACUUGUGUAGGAUAGGUGGGAGGCUUUGAAACUCGGACGCUAGUUCGAGUGGAGCCAAUCUUGAAAUACCACCCUGGUAAUAUUGAGGUUCUAACUCUGCUCCAUUAUCUGGAGCGAGGACCAUGUCUGGUGGGUAGUUUGACUGGGGCGGUCUCCUCCUAAAGAGUAACGGAGGAGUACGAAGGUGCGCUCAGCGUGGUCGGAAAUCACGCGUAGAGUAUAAAGGCAAAAGCGCGCUUAACUGCGAGACCCACAAGUCGAGCAGGUACGAAAGUAGGUCUUAGUGAUCCGGUGGUUCUGUAUGGAAGGGCCAUCGCUCAACGGAUAAAAGGUACUCCGGGGAUAACAGGCUGAUACCGCCCAAGAGUUCAUAUCGACGGCGGUGUUUGGCACCUCGAUGUCGGCUCAUCACAUCCUGGGGCUGAAGCCGGUCCCAAGGGUAUGGCUGUUCGCCAUUUAAAGUGGUACGCGAGCUGGGUUUAGAACGUCGUGAGACAGUUCGGUCCCUAUCUGCCGUGGACGUUUGAGAUUUGAGAGGGGCUGCUCCUAGUACGAGAGGACCGGAGUGGACGAACCUCUGGUGUUCCGGUUGUCACGCCAGUGGCAUUGCCGGGUAGCUAUGUUCG
rnacentral:rRNA from 1 species